rnacentral:SRP_RNA from 1 species
GCCGGGCGUGAUGGCUCACGCCUGUAAUCCCAGCUACUUGGGAAGCUGAGGCAGGAGAAUCACUUGAACCCAGGAGGUGGAGGCUGCAGUGAGCCAAGAUCCCACCACUGCACUCCAGCCUGGGCGACAGAGUGAGACUCUGUUUCAU